GAUGAACGCUGGCGGCGUGCCUAAUACAUGCAAGUCGAGCGAACAGACGAGGAGCUUGCUCCUCUGACGUUAGCGGCGGACGGGUGAGUAACACGUGGAUAACCUACCUAUCAUACUGGGAUAACUUCGGGAAACCGGCGCUAAUACCGGAUAAUCUAUUGAACCGCAUGGUUCAAUAGUGAAAGACGGUUUUGCUGUCACUUAUAGCUGGAUCCGCGCCGCAUUAGCUAGUUGGUAAGGUAACGGCUUACCAAGGCAACGAUGCGUAGCCGACCUGAGAGGGGGAUCGGCCACACGGGAACUGGGACACGGUCCAGGCUCCUACGGGAGGCAGCAGUAGGGAAUCUUCCGCAAUGGGCGAAAGCCUGACGGGGCAACGCCGCGUGAGUGAUGAAGGUCUUCGGAUCGUAAAACUCUGUUAUUAGGGAAGAACAAAUGUGUAAGUAACUAUGCACGUCUUGACGGUACCUAAUCAGAAAGCCACGGCUAACUACGUG
rnacentral:rRNA from 1 species